rnacentral:rRNA from 1 species
AUUGAACGCUGGCGGCAGGCCUAACACAUGCAAGUCGAGCGAGCGGCGGACGGGUGAGUAAUGUCUGGGGAACUGCCUGAUGGAGGGGGAUAACUACUGGAAACGGUAGCUAAUACCGCAUACCAUCAGAUGAACCCAUAUGGGAUUAGCUGGUAGGUGGGGUAAUGGCUCACCUAGGCGACGAUCCCUAGCUGGUCUGAGAGGAGGACCAGCCACACUGGGACUGAGACACGGCCCAGACUCCUACGGGAGGCAGCAGUGGGGAAUAUUGCACAAUGGGCGCAAGCCUGAUGCAGCCAUGCCGCGUGUAUGAAGAAGGCCUUCGGGUUGUAAAGUACUUUCAGCGGGGAGGCGUUACCGGCAGAAGAAGCACCGGCUAACUCCGUGCCAGCAGCCGCGGUAAUAC